rnacentral:rRNA from 1 species
UACGGAGGGUGCGAGCGUUGUCCGGAUUUAUUGGGUUUAAAGGGUGCGUAGGCGGCCGCGUAAGUCUGGGGUGAAAGCCCGUUGCUCAACAACGGAACUGCCCUGGAAACUGCGCGGCUUGAGUCCAGACGAGGUCGGCGGAAUGGGCGGUGUAGCGGUGAAAUGCAUAGAUACCGUCCAGAACCCCGAUUGCGAAGGCAGCUGACUAGGCUGGUACUGACGCUGAGGCACGAAAGCGUGGGGAGCGAACAGG